rnacentral:tRNA from 1 species
GCGUCUAUAGCUCAGUUGGUUAGAGCACCACCUUGGACAUGGUUGGGGGUCGGUGGUUCGAGUCCACUUAGACGCACCA